ACUGUACAAGCCCUGCUGGCAAUGGAUGCCGACGGACAGACCAUCCUACAGACAACGGAAUCUGAGCUCGUUCAGUGAGGAAAGGAAAAAAAAGUCGAAGGUUUCUCAGGACUGAUGAAGUGUUCAUUGUUGGUCUUCACAAGCACAUGUCAUGUCAGUUUUUAAUAGAUGUAAGAUGAAUUUUAUCUAUUCAUGAACUUGAACAUUAGUGGAAUUCUUUAUAAUUAUUACCAAGUGGUUUCAUUUCUCUUAUGACAUGCAAAUUUAAAAAAGGAAAAAAUACAAAUUUUUGUCUGUGCAAUUUUACAUCAAUUCCACCCUUGGAGAAGCAGUUUAUAUUGGUUUUUACAGAAAACAAACUGCAGUGCCCUGCACUUAAUGGAUUUGAUAUUUUGUAUGAAUCUGAGAAAUCCAAAAAUCUCAUUUCCUUGUUGAUCAAAACCGAUAAUUGCUAAUCUCCAACCAGGAUGUUGAUUAAAGUUAUGUCAUUUGAAUAAAAAAAGUUUUGAAAGAAAAAUCCCCGGGAAGUAAGAGUAAAUCCCCACAAGUGUGCUGUAUGACUAUCAUAACAUCAUUAUCAAACUGUAUCUGUAAUUUGUAAUGGUUGACACAGUUUUUCUUCUAAUUUGAAACUUUUUUGUUAAAGAUCUGUGUUGAGAUGUUCAUUGCUAUCAGUUUCGGUCUUAGAAUGUAAAGAUGACCACCACAUGCAAGUUUAGUUUAGUAAAUUUCUCUCAGUCAGUUAAUAUUAGUAUUCGAUGCCAGUUUAAAUGCUGUACAGAAAAAUGUUUAUCCUUAUAUGUGUGUUGACGGUAACGUAAUUUUUUUUUCCAAACUGGAGAAAAAAUAUUAGCAAUUUUAAGAGAUGUACAUAUUCAUUUAUAUUGCAAGAAAGGUGAAUGUGCACCAUGACUUGUAGAGGUUAUUUAUUACUGCAUUUUUAAUUGCCAUUCACUGACUUGUCAUGUGCAGCUACAUAUUUGCUUUAUUUAUGAUGAUGAUGAUGAUAAAGAUUAUAACUAUGAUGACAAGGAUAAUAUUUCAGACGUGGCUACUCGUUACCUGUGCACAGGUGUAUUUAAGUUUAUAAUGAGAGAACAAUAAACAUCUCACUAUUUAC
rnacentral:misc_RNA from 1 species